rnacentral:rRNA from 1 species
UACGUAGGGUGCAAGCGUUAAUCGGAAUUACUGGGCGUAAAGGGUGCGUAGGCGGGUUUUUAAGUCAGGGGUGAAAUCCUGGAGCUCAACUCCAGAACUGCCUUUGAUACUGAAGAUCUCGAGUCCGGGAGAGGUGAGUGGAGCUGCGAGUGUAGAGGUGAAAUUCGUAGAUAUUCGCAAGAACACCAGUGGCGAAGGCGGCUCACUGGCCCGGUACUGACGCUGAGGCACGAAGGCGUGGGGAGCAAACAGG